UUAAAGUUUAAAUCUAGCUUAAUUAUUUAUUCAAUUUUUCUUUUACAUGUAAAUUUAUGUGUGAUUUUUAGUUAAAUUUUAAUAAUUUAAUUAGGUGUUUAUAUUCGCAGUAUUUAUUAUUAUUAAUUCAGGAAAUUGUGAAUUAGGAAUAAAUUUUAUUAUUGACAAAUUUUGUGCCAGCAGUUGCGGUUAUACAAAAAAUAUAAAUAAAUAUUAUUGGAUAGUAACUAAGUGUUUGAAUGUUAAAAUUAGGUUUAAGUUAGUUAGGUGAAAUUAUUAAUUUAAGGAUAGUUUUAAUUUUAAAUGGUUAAUGUUAUGAAAUUUUUAUUUAAACUAGGAUUAGAUACCCUACUAUUUUAAAUGUAAAACUAAGUUCUUGAGUAGUAAAAGUUAUGUUCUCGAAAUUUAAAGAUUUUGGCGGUAUUUUAGUCUAUUCAGAGGAACCUGUUUUAUAAUUGAUAGUCCACGAUUGACUCUACUUGGGUUAAUAAGUUUGUAUAUCGUCGUUAUAGGAUAUUUUAUAAGAAGAUAAAUUUUUAAUAAUUUCAAUAAAUUAAUAUAUCAGAUCAAGGUGCAGCAUAUACUUGAGUAAAAAUGGGUUACAAUAAAUUUAUUUAUAAUGAAUUAGGCAAGGAAGAUAUAUGCUUAUGAAAGUGGAUUUGAUAGUAAUGUUAUUUAUUUAAAUGACAUGAUUUGAGCUCUAAAAUAUGUACAUAUCGCCCGUCACUCUUAUGUAAGUUAAGAUAAGUCGUAACAUAGUAGAUGUACUGGAAAGUGUAUCUAGAAUGAU
rnacentral:ncRNA from 1 species